GUACAAGACAAGGAUUGCUUCCUCCAACAAAUAAGCGUGUCAGUCCCUGUGCUGAGCAUUAGGGGUUCUAGAGUGCACCAGACAGUGUUCCUGCACAAGACGGUCAGUAAUGACUGUGUACCUCUGUUGUACUGGUAGUCAAUACAGGUUACCCAGGGGAGAUGUGGCUGGGAAUAGAAGAGGAACUAUGUCUCUGAAGGGAGACCAUGAGGUUGCCGUGUGGACAGGGAGACAGACCUUCCAGGCUCAGACACUACAUGGGGAAGACAAGGGCAUGAAAUCAUGGUAUUUCCAGGGAGUAGCAAGGACUCUAUGGAGCCAAGAACAUAUCUGCAUGGAGGGGAGUGGGUGAAGAUGAGGGUGAACAAGUUCGCAGUGACCAAGUACAGCCAUUUGACAAAUGCCUCACUCACCCCACCCACCAACCUCUUCCGCUGCACAUGCCUACAGAGGGUUUCCAAUAAGUCAUGAAUGAAUGAUAAUAUGUCGGGAAGUAUAUCAAGCUUGGGACCAAGUUAUAUAUCCUUCAGGAAAUUUACCAGAGAUCUGAAUCUUGAAGUUUCAGCCUCUCUCUUGACUUGAACAAUCUGGUAAAAUUCUGGAAUUACUUGCUAAGCCUGACUCAUUUCCAACCUUGGGAAGAAAGACAAGCAGGAGAGAGAGGAGGAGUUCAGGAGAACUUUCACUCCCACCCAGUGUUUAGAAAUGGCUCCAAAUGGUUUGUUUUGCAAUAAACACAAACAUUUAGAAAGACAUUUUUUCUCUCUCUUCCCGCAGGAAUACUCUAGAAAAAGAAGAGAAGGCAGAAGAAUAACUAUAAAGGAGGAAGCAUUAUACAUUUUCUUAAGCACCUAUAAUGUGCCAGAUGUUCUUCGAGAUGCUGGGGCUACAGUGGACUUCCAGGGAGCAGGCAGGGGCCAAGAAGCAAUAUACAUUCUGAAAAGGGAGGCUUCUUAAGUGAAUAAUAUGAUAGCACCUGUUGGUGGAUCACAGGCAAUAGCAGAGCACACAGGUGGGGUGCUCUCUGAGAUGCCUGCCCUGUGCCCUGAAUCAUGAUGUGGAGGACAGAGAAGAGCUAAACCUAGAAACAGGCAAGAGGAGUUCCCUGGUGAUGCAGCAGGUUAAGGAUCUGGUGUUGUCACUGCACAGCUCAGGUCACUGUUGUGGUGCAGGUUCAAUCCCUGGCCCAGAAAAUUCCACAUGGGCUGGUGCAACCAAAAAAAAGAAAGAAACAGGCAAGAAGAAGGCCAUCAAUCAUUUUUUUUUUCUUCUCCUCUUAUCUUAAAGAGUUUACCUUUCCUAAAUUUCAGUCUCGGGAUAGUGAAUAGCUAUAGUGUGUUCAUCUGCUAUGACUAGUACUUCCAGAACUUUUUUCCUUAAAAAUAA
rnacentral:lncRNA from 9 species